CUACGGGAGGCAGCAGUGAGGAAUAUUGCACAAUGGGGGGAACCCUGAUGCAGCAACGCCGCGUGGAGGAUGACGCAUUUCGGUGUGUAAACUCCUUUUAUAUGUCAAGAAAAUGACGGUAGCAUAUGAAUAAGCACCGGCUAACUCCGUGCCAGCAGCCGCGGUAAUAGCGGAGGGUGCAAGCGUUACUCGGAAUCACUGGGCGUAAAGGACGCGUAGGCGGGUUGGAAAGUCAGGUGUGAAAUCCUACAGCUUAACUGUAGAACUGCACUUGAAACUUCUAAUCUAGAGUAUGGGAGGGGGAGAUGGAAUUAGUGGUGUAGGGGUAAAAUCCGUAGAUAUCACUAGGAAUACCUAAAGCGAAGGCGAUCUCCUGGAACAUUACUGACGCUAAGGCGUGAAAGCGUGGGGAGCAAACAGGAUUAGAUACCCGAGUAGUC
rnacentral:rRNA from 1 species